AAUGAACGCUGGCGGCAUGCCUAACACAUGCAAGUCGAACGAAGGCUUCGGCCUUAGUGGCGCACGGGUGCGUAACGCGUGGGAAUCUGCCCUUGGGUUCGGAAUAACAGUUAGAAAUGACUGCUAAUACCGGAUGAUGUCGUAAGACCAAAGAUUUAUCGCCCAAGGAUGAGCCCGCGUAGGAUUAGCUAGUUGGUGGGGUAAAGGCCUACCAAGGCGACGAUCCUUAGCUGGUCUGAGAGGAUGAUCAGCCACACUGGGACUGAGACACGGCCCAGACUCCUACGGGAGGCAGCAGUGGGGAAUAUUGGACGAUGGGCGCAAGCCUGAUCCAGCAAUGCCGCGUGAGUGAUGAAGGCCUUAGGGUUGUAAAGCUCUUUUACCCGGGAUGAUAAUGACAGUACCGGGAGAAUAAGCUCCGGCUAACUUCGUG
rnacentral:rRNA from 1 species